rnacentral:rRNA from 1 species
UGGGGGAUAUUGCACAAUGGGGGAAACCCUGAUGCAGCAACGCCGCGUGAGGGAAGAAGGUUUUCGGAUUGUAAACCUCUGUUCUUAGUGACGAUAAUGACGGUAGCUAAGGAGAAAGCUCCGGCUAACUACGUGCCAGCAGCCGCGGUAAUACGUAGGGAGCGAGCGUUGUCCGGAUUUACUGGGUGUAAAGGGUGCGUAGGCGGCGAGGCAAGUCAGGCGUGAAAUCUAUGGGCUUAACCCAUAAACUGCGCUUGAAACUGUCUUGCUUGAGUGAAGUAGAGGUAGGCGGAAUUCCCGGUGUAGCGGUGAAAUGCGUAGAGAUCGGGAGGAACACCAGUGGCGAAGGCGGCCUACUGGGCUUUAACUGACGCUGAAGCACGAAAGCAUGGGUAGCAAACA